CAUCAACCCUUUCUCUCUCUCUCUCUCUCUCUCUCUCUCUCUCUCUGGCGACUCAUGAACAUAUCUGUAAGGAUUUCACCAGAUCUAGGGUUUUACUUUCAUUCGAAUUCAAAUCCAUGACCCCAACCUGUGACGGUGUGGUGUGCAGUGUUAAAAUCCGCUGAUUAGGGUUCCGGCAGUGGGAUUCUCGAGCAGAUUGGUGGCAGACGAGCAUCUGGCUGUAGAUGGUGGUUGAGGUCAUCUGCUUCAGAUUUAGUUAGUUCUAGAAACUGAUGUUGAAAAUUUGUAAUUUUGAGGAUUGUAUUGCUGAUUUCAAUAGUUUAGAAACUGGUGGCGUGUUUGUGCUGGUUCGACAAAGCCAGAAAGCGGGGGCGACGGCUAGGGUUUCGAUUAGUGCUCUCUGUCCGAUGUUCUUCACGAUAGAGAUCCACUCGAUACGGUAAAGAUAGAAUUCCAGCAUUGCUUGGGGUUACAGGUUUGCUUGAUUUGGGCAAUUUCUCUUCAUCAUUAUGGGACCUCAUAUUCGCGGUAUUACUGUAGUAGAAUAAAGUGGCCAACAAAGUAAAAGAAAUAAUUUUGUCUAAUUGGCAAUAUAGUUUUUAAGAUAACCGUGUUUAAACAUAAUGUUGACACACUAUGGGCACUGUUUGUAUUAUUAGCAGCUGCAAGUGUUGCUUCUUAAUGGUUAGAACUUCUUCAACAGGGUCAAAGGCCAUCUUGCAGGGAAACGAUAAUAUAUAAUUCAAAUCACUGAUAACAUGUUCUUAGUUAGAGUAUAUUUGAACAUGAAUAACCUUGUUAAUUUUGUUGUUGCAGCGUUAAGGCGUAGUAAAAAAAGAGUUCAAGCUGCAAUCCAAAGAGAAUUACCAUUAUUGGUAUCAAGAGAAUUGGUUUUUAAUCAAGAAAACAUAGGAAAUGCUGACUUGCAUAGAGCUAGAUGGGGUCCUCUUUUUUAUCAGAUGGAUAAUGCACUUUCAGAAGAAGAAAAGCAUUUGGAGAGAUCGUUGAACCAAGUGAAUGAAAUGCUAAUGCAUUGUAAUAAUGGUCUUCUACAAUUUCAUCCGGAACACAAUUUGCAAAAGCAAACCAUUGACUACAGAAAUUUGAAAGCAGAACUGAGCGUAUACAAAGAUUUAGCUGUACAAGCUGCAGCAGCAGCCAUCGACUCGACAUCUAGCUUUUUGCGAUCGAUGGAAAAUCUACCAUGUUUCUGAUGAUUGCUUGACGUCCGGUAGUGAUGUGUAACUUGAUUCCAGUUUGAAAUGAAGAGCUUAUGCUUUCUGUUCUUCAGAAUUACAAGCCUGAUAAAGUGGUGAAGAGCGUACGGGUGGCGCCGGUUCGACUUGGAUGGGAGGCGAGGUUUUAUCGAUUAUUCCACUGUCUUGCUUUCGGGCGGGUGGAGGUCGGGUUUCCGAUCAUCUGGGGAGAGCCAUGGGGUUGGUGGCGGUCGAGUAGUCGACCUUGGCCACAUCGCCCGGUGUCACGGUGGUUGCAAGUUUUUGAUCACGACACAUUCUCGGCUGACGACAUAAUGGGAGAAGCGGAAAUUGAUAUCCACCCGUUGAUAACAUCUACAAUGGCGUUUGGGGAUGCGGGGAUAUUAGAAGAUGUGUAGAUAGGAAAAUGGCUGAAUUCGGAGGAUAAUGCAUUUUUUAGAAGACAGCAUUGUGAACGUCAUUGAUGGGAAGGUGAUACAAGAGGUCACACUUGAACUCCAAAACGUUGAAUCUGGUGAAAUAGACCUGCGAAUUGAGUGGAUGCCACUUGAUCAGUAACAGGAAAUUCAUGUUUAAUAUUUUACUGUUAUUUCUUUUUUUGUUUAUUAAUUCAAUGCGUAAUAAAAUUCUUUGAUUGUAAUUAAUGAUAUGACCACCAUGUAUUGUAUUUAAACUUUUGAAUUUGUAUUCCUUCUCUUUUUUUGUGAGAA